rnacentral:rRNA from 1 species
GAUGAAUGCUGGCGGCGUGCCUAAUACAUGCAAGUCGAGCGGUAAGGCCCUUCGGGUACACGAGCGGCGGACGGCUGAGUAACGCGUGGGAACAUGCCCCAAAGUGAGGGAUAACGCACCGAAAGGUGUGCUAAUACCGCAUAUGGUCUUCGGAUUAAAGGAUUUAUCCGCUUUGGGAGUGGCCCGCGUACGAUUAGAUUGUUGGUGAGGUAACGGCUCACCAAGUCGACGAUCGUUAACCGGUCUGAGAGGAUGAUCAGUCAGACUGGAACUGAGACACGGUCCAGACUCCUACGGGAGGCAGCAGUAAGGAAUCUUCCACAAUGGGCGAAAGCCUGAUGGAGCAACGCCGCGUGCAGGAUGAAGGCCUCGGGUCGUAAACCGCUUUAUGAGUGAAGAAUAUGACGGUAACUCAUGAAUAAGCACCGGCUAACUACGUGCCAGCAGCCGCGGUAAU